GAUGAACGCUGGCGGCGUGCCUAAUACAUGCAAGUCGAGCGAACGGACGAGAAGCUUGCUUCUCUGAUGUUAGCGGCGGACGGGUGAGUAACACGUGGAUAACCUACCUAUAAGACUGGGAUAACUUCGGGAAACCGGAGCUAAUACCGGAUAAUAUUUUGAACCGCAUGGUUCAAAAGUGAAAGACGGUCUUGCUGUCACUUAUAGAUGGAUCCGCGCUGCAUUAGCUAGUUGGUAAGGUAACGGCUUACCAAGGCAACGAUGCAUAGCCGACCUGAGAGGGUGAUCGGCCACACUGGAACUGAGACACGGUCCAGACUCCUACGGGAGGCAGCAGUAGGGAAUCUUCCGCAAUGGGCGAAAGCCUGACGGAGCAACGCCGCGUGAGUGAUAAAGGUCUUCGGAUCGUAAAACUCUGUUAUUAGGGAAGAACAUAUGUGUAAGUAACUGUGCACAUCUUGAUGGUACCUAAUCAGAAAGCCACGGCUAACUACGUG
rnacentral:rRNA from 1 species